rnacentral:rRNA from 1 species
AGUGAACGCUGGCGGUAGGCCUAACACAUGCAAGUCGAACGGCAGCACAGUAAGAGCUUGCUCUUACGGGUGGCGAGUGGCGGAUGGGUGAGGAAUACAUCGGAAUCUACUUUUUCGUGGGGGAUAACGUAGGGAAACUUACGCUAAUACCGCAUACGACCUACGGGUGAAAGCAGGGGAGCUUCGGACCUUGCGCGAUUGAAUGAGCCGAUGUCGGAUUAGCUCGUUGGCGGGGUAAAGGCCCACCAAGGCGACGAUCCGUAGCUGGUCUGAGAGGAUGAUCGGCCACCCUGGAACUGAGACACGGUCCAGGCUCCUGCGGGAGGCAGCAGUGGGGAAUAUUGGACAAUGGGCGGAAGCCUGAUCCAGCCAUACCGCGUGGGUGAAGAAGGCCUUCGGGUUGUAAAGCCCUUUUGUUGGGAAAGAAAAGCAGCAGGUUAAUACCCCGCUGUUCUGACGGUACCCAAAGAAUAAGCACCGGCUAACUUCGUG